rnacentral:piRNA from 1 species
UGGACUUUGUUUCGCUUGAUGCGUAGGGU